rnacentral:rRNA from 1 species
GAGUUUGAUCGUGGCUCAGAUUGAACGCUGGCGGCAAUGCCUUACACAUCGACAAGUCGAACGGCGAGCGACGGGAGCUUGCUCCUGGUGGGCGAGUGGCGAACGGGUGAGUAAUGCAUCGGAACGUAUCCUGGAGUGGGGGAUAACGUAGCGAAAGUUACGCUAAUACCGCAUAUUCUGUGAGCAGGAAAGCGGGGGACCUUCGGGCCUCGCGCUCUUGGAGCGGCCGAUGUCGGAUUAGCUAGUUGGUGAGGUAAAGGCUCACCAAGGCGACGAUCCGUAGCAGGUCUGAGAGGAUGAUCUGCCACACUGGAACUGAGACACGGUCCAGACUCC